rnacentral:rRNA from 1 species
UACCAGCACCCCGAGUGGUCGGGACGAUUAUUGGGCCUAAAGCAUCCGUAGCCGGUUCUACAAGUCUUCCGUUAAAUCCACCUGCUUAACAGAUGGGCUGCGGAGGAUACUAUAGAGCUAGGAGGCGGGAGAGGCAAGCGGUACUUAGUGGGUAGGGGUAGAAUCCGUUGAUCCAUUGAAGACCACCAGUGGCGAAGGCGGCUUGCCAGAACGCACUCGACGGUGAGGGAUGAAAGCUGGGGGAGCAAACCGG